rnacentral:ncRNA from 1 species
GUGCGGUUACAAAAAUAAGGUUUUUGAAUGUUGGCUUUGCCAAUGGCGCUAAAGGCGUGAGUAAAUCACUUGGGUGGUUUGUGAAUAAUAUUUAAUCAA